AUGACUUCGGGGACUUUAUUAGUGUGUCUGCUGCUGUGUGGAGUAGAUGUCGGCUGGUCUGGCAGGGUUUUGGUGAUGCCAGGCGAGUACAGUCACUGGCACAACAUGCGUCCAGUAAUUGAAGCUCUUGUUGAUAAAAACCACAGUGUGACGGUUCUGGUCGGCUCUUCAUCUCCUACAGUACCGCACACACAGAAGGAGCGCUUUGAAUACCACGUCUUCAAAGUCAACAUGGAGAAAGAAGUGGUCGACUAUUUGUGGAUUCAUUUCCACGAGCUUUGGAUGAAUGAAACAAUCAGCACAUACGAGAAAACACUCGAGGUCUGGCAAUUGAUGUCGUUAUUCAGGGCGCACAGUGAGGAAUUAGUCAAAGGCUUGUUUGAUGUUGGUCUUCUAAAGACGCUUCGGGAUUCUAACUAUGACGUGCUCUUCUCUGACCUGACGAUGCCGUUCUCUGACCUGAUGGCGCAGAAGCUGAACAUCCCUCAUGUUCUGUCCAUGCGGAUAUCUUUCGCUUCUGCAUUAGAGAGACUGUGUGGUCAGAUGCCUGUUCCUCAAUCAUACGUUCCUGCAGCAGUUGCUCAGGGUCAUCUGACUGACCGCAUGAGCUUCACUGAGAGAGUUGAAAACAUGCUGCUCUACAUCACACACACGGCCAUGUUCCAGCUGACCACGAAGUUUACUUUUGAUCACAUCUACGCUGAAAUAUCGGGUGAGCCCACAACAAUGUGUGAGACCAUUGGAAAAACUGACAUCUGGUUAAUAAGAACAUACUGGGAUUUCGAGUAUCCGCGUCCAUUCCCGCCUAAUUUUAAGUUUGUUGGAGGACUGCAGUGCAAACCUGCCAAACCCCUGGCAAAGGAACUGGAGGAGUUUGUUCAGAGCUCUGGAGAUCACGGCAUCGUUGUUUUCUCAUUGGGCUCCAUGAUUAAAAACCUGACCGUGCAAAAAGCAAACACUAUUGCUGCUGCUCUGGGUCAGAUCUCACAAAAGGUUGUUUGGCGUUACAGUGGGAAAACUCCAGAAACACUGGCUCCCAAUACUAAAAUCUACGACUGGAUCCCACAGAAUGAUUUGCUUGGUCAUCCAAAAACGAAGGCUUUCAUCACUCAUGGUGGCACAAAUGGACUGUAUGAGGCUAUUUAUCACGGUGUCCCGAUGGUGGGUUUGCCACUGUUUGGAGAUCAGCCUGAUAACUUAAUGCACUUGAAAAGCAAAGGAGCUGCUGUAGUCCUUGAUUUCUUCACACUGGAAUCCAAAGACCUGGUGGAUGCUCUGAAGACCGUCUUAAAUAACCCAUCGUACAAGGAGAGCAUCAUGAGGCUGUCCAGAAUCCACCACGAUCAGCCGAUGAAGCCGCUGGAUCAGGCCGUGUACUGGAUUGAGUUUGUGAUGCGGAAUAAAGGAGCCAAACAUCUCCGAGUUCAGGCGCAUGAGCUGAGCUGGUAUCAGUACCACUGUCUGGAUGUAGCGGCCUUCUUACUCUCCAUCACCGCUCUGAUCACAUUCCUCUGGGUUAAAGCAUGCUGCUUCCUUUUCCGCAGAUGUGUCAGGAAAACCCGUCCUGAGAGAAAGAGUAAAAAGGAGUGAAUGCAAAGUAGGAUUCCAAUAAAAAUAAUGCAGUCAUGCGGCUGCAGUGUGCGUCCUGAGACGUGUAUGAUUGUGCAUUUUGUUUAUAUUCCAAACUGGAAUGUUCUUAAUGAACCUAAUGUGAAUCUUCAUGUAAAAGGUGUUUUAACAGGUGUUUUCUGUUUAUUUACGGUUAAGAAAUGUAUGAUGAGAUGUUGAUCUCUGCUCUGCUUGAUGUUGAGUUCAACCCUGCAAUUGAACGGGCGCUUAGUGGUUAGCAUUAUGUCCUCACAGCAAGAAGGUCACUAGUUCGAGUCUCGGCUGGGCCAGUUAGC